AUAAUUUAAAAAAAAAACAGGUUUAGUGACAAGCAUUGACACUGUGUAAAAGAAUACAUCCUCUUUGCCAUUAUAAAAUCAUCAGCCCUACUGUGUGAUUUAUUUGCUUAUAUGCUAAGUUAACUUAACAUUUUUGGUGAAUAAAUAGCAUACUGGCAUAUUUCCUGUGGCUUGGUUUGUGAGUGGUUUUUUGUUUUGUCUUUUUUUAGAUAGUCUUGCUGUGUUCCCCAGGCUGGAGUGCAGUGGCACAACCACAUCACACUGCAACCUCCACCUCCCAGGUUCAAGGGAUUUUCCUGCCUCAGCCUCUUUUCAUAGCUGGGACUACAGGCACAUGCUACCAUGCCUGGCUAAUAUGUGUAGUUUCGUAGAGACAGGGUUUCACCAUGUUGACCAGGCUGGUCUUGAACUCCUGACCCCAAGUGAUCGGCUUAUCUCAGCCUCCCAAAGUGAGGGUUUUAUUAGUGUAUCGCUGAUGGACAUACUGAUUACUGGUUUGUCACUAAGUCAUACUUGAUCUCUUGGAACCUCAAUUUCCUAUGUAUAAUGUGAAGAUUGAUAUUUUACUUCAUAGAGUUACUGAUAAGACUAACUUCUUUGCAGAAUUCAGUUUACUUGAUCUUGGAAAAUAUUCUGCUUGGAAGCUAUUUAAGGAAGACUAAAAUUGACUAUUCAAAAAUUUACCCAUUGAUAUUUUCUAAAAUUUUCAGAGGGAACAUAUUAAAAAUAUUUUGUGUUUGUUAUGAAGUGUCAUUAAAUAAGUGUUCCUCAGACAGUCUGUAAAUAUUAGUAAAGUUUACAUUUGCUGCUUAAAGACCAAAGACAGAGACCUAGGAGCCUAGGACUGGACACAUAAUGGUGCUCUAUAACUAUAUUCAUAAAUGAAAAAAAGGAUUUAAAAUAAUUGACUUCAGCUUUUAAGCCAGGUAUAAUAAUACAUCUUCUUAUUUGUAAGUGAUAUGAAAUAAAAUUCUGUAAUAAGCAAAUUGAAACCCCUCUAUCCACACAGAAAUUAUUACUAAAAUGCAAGAGAUAUGAAUUAUAAAAUAUGUCCUACUUAUUACUCUUUCAAUCAUAUACAAUUUGCCUGUCAAUGGAUGGCCUAAAAUGAAUGACCAUACAAAGGUAAGAGCACCUAAAUCACUGAAUUAGCCAACAGAGUAAGGCAAUGACCACUGCUGAUAUUCUUUUUUUUUUAAUUGCAUUUUAGGUUUUGGGGUACAUGUGCAGAACAUGCAAGAUAGUUGCAUAGGUACACACAUGGCAGUGUGUUUUGCUGCCUUCCUCUCCUUCUGCUGAUAUUCUAAUACCUGAACAUAAAUUGUUUCAGUAGAUCAAUGUAUAUGUGUUCAAAUGAUCAACAGAGAGAAAAAGCAACAUGUCUACUGUAAAUCCAAAAGAUCAAACAAUGACAAUCUCUGAAGGAAAUUUUCUCUAUAAAAUGUCAAAGUUUGACAGGGUAAGAGUGCUAAGAAUUGAAUACAUUAUCCUAGAAAGGUAUUUGUUAUUGUUUAGCAAUUUCUGACAUUCAUUGAAUCUAAGAUGCCAUUUAUUGAAAGGCACGCACUAUUAUUUUACAUGUGACUAAGGAACAAGAAAGUCAGUACUCAUUUUAAUUAUAGUGUGUUAUUAUGUAAAUUUCAGACAUUUAAAAAAGGGAAAUUAUAGAAUGAAUAAAAUACAGUAUGUAAAGGACUAAGAGGCGAUAAAGAAAUAUUGGUCAGGAAAAAAAAAAUAACAAGGGUCAAAGCCAGAACAAUUUGAGCAACAAAAUAUUUGUAUUAUGUUGGUGCAAAAGUUAUUGUGGCUUUUGCCAUUGAUAUUGCAGUUUUGCCAUUAUUUUCAAUGGCAAAAAUCGUAAUAACUUUUGCACUGACUUAAUGAUACUGUAUCAUGGCCCAAAGUAUAAAAUAAAUAUCCUUAAGUCCAUCCUUACAUAGAUGAUUGAAUAAAUAAAUGGAAGAGAAUAGAGAAAUCUGUCUUGCAGGAAAAUUCCAGUUUAUGUAGGUACUCUGCCAUCAAGGAGUUAGCACAUAACUCUCUACUGUUUUUGUUUGUUUGUUUGUUUUGUUUUUUGUUUUUUGGUUUUUGGUUUUUUCUGAGACUGAGUCUCACUUUGUCACCCAGGUUGCUGGAGUGCAGUGGCACAAUCUUGGCUUACUGCAGACUCUGCCUUCCACGUUCAAAUGAUUCUCCUACCUUGGCCUCCUGAGUAGCUGGGAUCACAGGUGCACCAUACCAUGCCCAGCUAAUUUUUGUAGUUCUAGGAAAGAUGGAGUUUCACCAUUUUGGCCAGGCUGGUGUUGAACUCCUGGCCAUAGGUGAUCCACCCACCUCAGCCUCUCUCAACUUCUUUUUUUUUUUUUUUUUGAGACGGAGUUUCGCUCUUGUUACCCAGCCUGGAGUGCAAUGGCACGAUCUCGGCUCACCGCAACCUCUGCCUUCUGGGUUCAGGCAAUUCUCCUGCCUCAGCCUCCUGAGUGGCUGGGAUUACAGGCACGUGCCACCAUGCCCAGCUAAAUUUUUUGUAUUUUUUGUAGAGACAGGGUUUCACCAUGUUGACCAGGAUGGUCUCGAUCUGUUGACCAGGAUGGUCUCAAUCUGUUGACCUCAUGAUCCACCCGCCUCGGCCUCCCAAAGUGCUGGGAUUACAGGCUUGAGCCACCGCGUCCGGCCCUCUCAAAUUCUUAAGUGUGGGCUGUGCAUGCAGACUUCCUUCUAAGAAUUACUGCGUGGAAAGGAGUAAAAAACCUUUGUAGUAAAGAAACUUGACACACACUACCCCACCCAGGUAAUGAAAGUCAGUAUCAACAGUGAUACAUCAUAUUGAUAGUACAUACACUUAAUAUGUUGUGAUGAAAAUGACACUUUACCUCUGUGUUUUUUUUUCCCUAAAGUCAUAACUUCAGUCUCAUUAAGAAAACAGCAAUAAAUCCCAAUAGAAGAGCCUCUUACAAUAUACCUGACUAGUACUCCUCAAAAGUCUCAGAGUCAUCAAAGACAAGGAGCCUGAGAAACUAACAGUCAAGAAGAGCCUAAGGAUAUAGGAUCACUAAAUGUAAUAGUAUGCUGCAUGGGAUUCUGGAGGAGAAAGAUGACAUUAGAAUGUAGAAAGCCUGAAAAAAUCCUGAUGCUCGUGCUAUACAUCAUACCAAUUAAGUCAGACCUUCUGGGGGUCAAACCAAGGCAUCAGAAUUAAAAAAAAAAAUCUUCAGCACUAAAAGCAUCAUACAUCCCCCUUCCUGCAACAUUUGAACGUGUUCAUCACACAUCGUGAGGUUUUUGGUAAAGUGGAAGAAACAACAAUAUGAACAAUUUGGGAGAGGAGAGGCAGGAAAGCGGAGAAAGAAGAAGGAAAGGAGUAAUGUCUUCUUAUUUAGCCAGUGUGGCUUGUGACUCCUUCUUGGGGACUGUCAUAUCAUGUUUCAAAAGAAAAAGAUGGGAGACACUAAAGGAUCAUAUGGGACAGUGUAAACUGGAAAGAGGGUGCAUAUUUUAAAUGACCUGGCUGGCUUUGUGGAUCAAGUCUUUGUUUCCAUGACACUGCAACUCGCAGAGGGCAAAGAGCUGGUUGACUCAUUGGCUUUUUCUAAGAGGCAGAGUUGACUGCAGCAAGUUUUCUAACACCUACAGGUACUAAGAGCUAGUUGUAUUAACUUUCAAAAGUGUAAUACAAAUUAUAAUUUCUUUUAAUUAAAUUUUACCCAAUUCUUAACUUUGGUUCAAGAGACGAUUAGAGAUAUUCCCAGGGACAAGGUUAUAUAUCACACAUUAUACUUCAUGCUGAUUUGUGGUCUUCAUUUUAUAAUCCUCGUCAUCAAAUCCCAUAUCACACAUAAUAAAGAAGAUUUUUGUCUCAAUGCCACUUGGUAGGAUGAUCAAAUCACUUAUUUUUAUUGCACUUUCAUCCAUGUAUAAUGACAAGAUCUAUUUCUUUUUUAUCUUAUGCUGAAGAAUAGAAUUUCUGGAGUCUGUCAUGUGUUCUUUGUUUUGGGGAAAUUGCCAUAAUCUAUUUGGAAGAUUGUAAAUCUAUUUAAAUAGCAUAAAGCUAUCAACCUGACAUUUAACUAAAAAUAUAUGUAAUUUUGUUGUUUUUUAAAUUCAUCUCUCUGAUUUUGAUUUCCACCCCUAAGAAGGUCAUAGGGCCACUUACCUAGGGUGUAGAGGGGGAUGAGGAAUGACUUAUUGCUGCCUGUAAAUUGAAUGAGUGAGGCAGAGAGUGACAAGAGAAGGAGAUCUGAAGUAACAUAGACCUUGAACAGGCCACUUGGGGCUGCUUGUGCUGCCAAAUCAUCAGUAUUUAUGACAUCUUCUUUGAGGUUGUAAAAUGCUGGCCCUGAGUAUUAUAUGACAGUUAUGUUGCAAGGGUCACCUAUCCUGCUUCUGAAUUUUUGCUCAAAAUAUUCCCUGUGUCUAGAUUUGUCCCUCUGUGCUCCUCAUUAAGUGUGACUCUUGUGCCUAAACUUGAAUCUAAACUCUAAACUUGAUUCUUCAAGAAAACUUGUCUAGUUGAUGCAAAAAAGACAUGUCAUCCUACUCCCCUAAGCAUUCUGUUUAACUUUCUAAAAUAGUUAUUUCUGUUAAGUUUACAUUUUAAAAGUAUUCUAAAUACCUACCAUAAGACAAGCACCAUAGUAGUUAAUUUUGGGAACCACCUUUGUGUGCACUGUCAGAAUUUGCAAAUAUAAAAUAUAAAUAUAAAAUCUCAGAUGUGUUGAGAACUGGGCAGAACCUUCUGACCCAAGACAACCUCCCAUAAAUCAGGGCAGGAAAUUCAAUAUGCCCUGGCCUUCUCUCUGGUUCUAAAUUAAACACUCAACCCAUGAAUGAGGUGACAACAAAAUUUGUCAUUAACACUUAGAUGUGAUAGGUUUACUCAACCCUUCAAUAUGAGAGGUCUAGAGAACUCUUAUAAGGAAGAGAAUAUGCUGUAACUGUAGGGCAAUGGUGACAAUCUGAAUCAAGCCCACAUCUUCCACAUGCAUCUUGAGCCAUGCAAAUCAGUUUUCCAGUGACCUUCUAGGAAUUACUAGGAGGUCUCUCUGGUACAGUCUUCUCUCUAAGGCAUUCUCUUCAGACAGGCAACUUUAAAAGAGAGAGAUGUAUAUUGCAUGUUCAAAAGUAUUCUCCUUUUUUUCAUAGAAAAUCAAAGAGCUCAAAAUAGCUCAUUCCCAUCUCUAAAGGAACACUGUUACAAUGUGAGUUUUCCCGAAGCAGAAGCUCCUGACUGUGCCCUUGCUCUCAUGACCUGUUUUGCUAUUACUUCUUGUAAUGAUAAAAAGGUCUUUCAGAUAUUCUUCUAUCUCCAUUAAGGUUGCUUAUAAAGCAAAAUCACAUGUAGCAAACCCAGUCUCCCCAUUUACACACAUUUAGAAGUAGGACAUGGGUUUCAGUGAGGUGUCAAUGAAUCCCAGUCUCUGGAAGCCCUUGCCCCAACCUUAUCGCUCAGGUUGCUUGUAAGAUUUCAUUAUGUGCAGCAGAAAAUCACUACACACAGCUCUGUUCUUAUUUAAUUAGGCAAAAAUCUUCA